rnacentral:rRNA from 1 species
UGGUGGCGAGUGGCGAACGGGUGAGUAAUAUAUCGGAACGUGUCCAAUAAUGGGGGAUAACGAGUCGAAAGAUUCGCUAAUACCGCAUACGCCCUACGGGGGAAAGCAGGGGAUCGUAAGACCUUGCGUUAAUGGAGCGGCCGAUAUCUGAUUAGCUUGUUGGUGAGGUAAAGGCUCACCAAGGCGACGAUCAGUAGCUGGUUUGAGAGAACGACCAGCCACACUGGAACUGAGACACGGUCCAGACUCC